rnacentral:rRNA from 1 species
AUGUGCUAAUACCGCAUAAUCUCUGAGGAGAAAAGCAGGGGAUCGAAAGACCUUGCACUUUUGGAGCGGCCGAUGUCUGAUUAGCUAGUUGGUGGGGUAAAGGCCUACCAAGGCAUCGAUCAGUAGCUGGUCUGAGAGGACGACCAGCCACACUGGGACUGAGACACGGCCCAGACUCCUACGGGAGGCAGCAGUGGGGAAUUUUGGACAAUGGGCGCAAGCCUGAUCCAGCCAUGCCGCGUGAGUCAAGAAGGCCUUCGGGUUGUAAAGCUCUUUCAGUCGGGAAGAAAAGAUUGCGACUAAUAAUCGUGAUCAAUGACGGUACCGAAAGAAGAAG